rnacentral:tRNA from 2 species
AUUUGAGCGUUAGAAAAUCCGUUGGCUUUAUUGACCGUGAGGGUUCAAGUCCCUCUACCCCCA